ensembl:lncRNA
UCAGCAUUCUUACAUAUUAGGCACUGUGCAAAGCAUGAAGAACAGUGGACAGAGCCAGACGUCUUCCCUUCUCCUGUGCCAUCCAUCUAGCGAAGGAGACACUCAUUAAUCCAAGAGUCACCUAGGUACUGUUCUGGACCGUGAACAAAUCCUACUGUCGUGGAGUUAUAUUCUGGUGAAUUCACACCACUACCCUAAAAGGCAACUAUUCAGUCUCGCUCUCACCAGUACAGAAAUGACAAUUUUACUCUCAUAGUAUGCUUGAGACCCCUGCACUGUCCAGUGUUUAAGUAGCAUAGGAUUUGCACAUUACCAUCCUACUCUAUCUGAAGCUAGCAUUUAACAUUUAUCACUAAUACCUGAUACUUCACAUAAAGUUUUUCCUAUCAGCAAAAGGGUAGAGACACACACACACACACACACACAAAUGUUGUUUGCAAUUCUG